rnacentral:rRNA from 1 species
AGAGAGAGACAUGCGCGCAUAUCAAUAAGCGGAGGAAAAGAAACUAACAAGGAUUCCCUUAGUAACGGCGAGUGAAGCGGGAAGAGCUCAAAUUUGAAAUCUUCAAGGUUUUACCUUGACGAAUUGUAGUUUAAAGAAGUGUUUUCUGCUGAAGUUUUGGUAAAAGUUCUUUGGAAUAGGACAUCAUAGAGGGUGAGAAUCCCGUAUUUGACCAUUAUUUUCAGCUUUGUGAUACGCUUUCAAAGAGUCGGAUUGUUUGGGAAUGCAGUCCAAAAUGGGUGGUAAAUUUCAUCUAAAGCUAAAUAUUGGCGAGAGACCGAUAGCGAACAAGUACCGUGAGGGAAAGAUGAAAAGAACCUUGAAAAGAGAGUUAAACAGUACGUGAAAUUGUCAAAAGGGAAGCGUUUGACACCAGUGUUGUUUUCUCGAAAAUCAAUUAAAAAUGGCUCGAUUUUGUAUUGCUUGAGACCUUAAAAGCUCACUGUACAUUUUUCGUGUCUUUUUUAAUGCACUUUUCGUUUAACAAGUCAACAUCAGUUUCUUUUGUUGUAAAAGGGUCAUUGGAAGGUGGCUUUCUUUUCGGAGAAAGUGUUUAUAGCCUUUGGCCUCUGCAAUCGGAGAGACUGAGGUCUGCAGCGUAGACUCUUCGGGGUUAGAUACAUUUGUGCUAAGUUAUAGCUUUUUAUAGACAACUUGUUGACUAUAAUUAGUCUUGUAGCUUACUCGCUUAUGCUAUUUUACCUACGCUUAGGAUGUUGAGUCGUAGAGCACGCAG